rnacentral:sRNA from 1 species
ACAACAACAAGAAAGAGAAUGGUACAACCCAAAAAAAGUAAUAACAUCAGCACCACCACCUUUACCAAGCAUUCUCCUCCUUACACUCGUCAUUGUCAUUUCCAUUUAUCAUUUAUUUCUAUCUU